CAAUUUCUCCUCCCCGUCUUUGCAAAUUCACUUCCGCUUCUUUGCACAUGUGCUUCCGGGGCACGAUAGGCUCGGCCUCUUUUCAGCUCUUACCCUCUGCUGCUAGAGGGGAGGGGGGAGCAGAAGGGGGUGGGGAAGAGUUCGUUGUUUGUUUACACGAUGUGAGCGGAAAAAGAGACCAAUAAAGUUUAUUCUGGAAACAAAAGGAAAAAAAAACCAGGGGCGACAGAGAAAGGAGACGGGGGCGGGGGCGUGUGGCGAGGGCUAGCGAGAAGGGGAAAGCGGCAGUUCCGGUGCCGCCGCUGCGGCCGUUGAGGUCUUAGGAGGCUGCUGCUGCCGCGGCUGCUGGUGCUGGGGCCGCAGGCGAGGCAGGGCUCGGGCCCGGCCGGGCAGCUCCGGAGCGGCGGGGGAGAGGGGCCGGGAGGCGGGGGCCGUGCCACCCGCUCUCCUCUCCCUCAGCACCGCCGCCGCCGCCGCCCGUGGGGCUGGGACCCGAUGCGGUUAGAACCGCGGAGCCUGGAGGAGCCCGCAGCAUCACUAGCAGCCAGAAAACAACUAUUUUGCAAGUCAGCCAAGUCCAGAAUGGUUUUAGCUUCAUUAUGGUAAGAAAGGGUGAAGUUCUUUUUGGUGAAACCUCCAGGC
rnacentral:lncRNA from 1 species